rnacentral:lncRNA from 1 species
AAACAAAAUUCAAAAACCAAAGUAAUGUCCAGUCCGAAUUAUACAGUCCAAAAAGAGAACAAUACAAAAAUAGAAAUCCUAUUUAGACUAAUCCUAAACUAUAUUCCAAUGCUUUACCCGAUACCUCGGGCCUUCAUCACGAACCUCCUUUGCGUACAUGAUACGUCGGGGCAUUCCCUGGUGAAUAGAUACAAGUACCU